CUGCUGCAACAGCUGCUGCAGCAGCUGCUGCUGCAGCAGUUCUUGCUGCACAACAGCAGCUGCUGCUGCACUGCUGCGGCAGCGUGCUGCACGGCGGCUGCUGCAAAACAGCAGCAACAACA